rnacentral:rRNA from 1 species
GAUGAACGCUGGCGGCGUGCCUAAUACAUGCAAGUCGAGCGAACAGACGAGGAGCUUGCUCCUCUGACGUUAGCGGCGGACGGGUGAGUAACACGUGGAUAACCUACCUAUAAGACUGGGAUAACUUCGGGGAAACCGGAGCUAAUACCGGAUAAUAUAUUGAACCGCAUGGUUCAAUAGUGAAAGACGGUUUUGCUGUCACUUAUAGAUGGAUCCGCGCCGCAUUAGCUAGUUGGUAAGGUAACGGCUUACCAAGGCAACGAUGCGUAGCCGACCUGAGAGGGUGAUCGGCCACACUGGAACUGAGACACGGUCCAGACUCCUACGGGAGGCAGCAGUAGGGAAUCUUCCGCAAAGGGCGAAAGCCUGACGGAGCAACGCCGCGUGAGUGAUGAAGGUCUUCGGAUCGUAAAACUCUGUUAUUAGGGAAGAACAACUGUGUAAGUAACUAUGCACGUCUUGACGGUACCUAAUCAGAAAGCCACGGCUAACUACGUG